rnacentral:rRNA from 1 species
AACGAACGCUGGCGGCGCGCCUAAUACAUGCAAGUCGAGCGAGAAGGUGUAGCAAUACACUUGUAAAGCGGCGAACGGGUGAGGAAUACAUGGGUAAUCUACCAUCGAGUGGGGAAUAACCAACCGAAAGGUUGGCUAAUACCGCGUACGCCUCCGAAUCUUCGGGUUCGGAGGGAAAGCUGCACUGUGAGUGUAGCGCUCUUUGAUGAGCUCAUGUCCUAUCAGCUUGUUGGUAGGGUAACGGCCUACCAAGGCUUUGACGGGUAGCUGGUCUGAGAGGACGAUCAGCCACACUGGCACUGCGACACGGGCCAGACUCCUACGGGAGGCAGCAGUAAGGAAUAUUGCGCAAUGGGCGAAAGCCUGACGCAGCGACGCCGCGUGGGGGAUGAAGGUCUUCGGAUUGUAAACCCCUUUCGGGAGGGAAGAUGGAGCGAGCAAUCGUUCGGACGGUACCUCCAGAAGCAGCCACGGCCAACUUCGUGCCAGCA